rnacentral:rRNA from 1 species
ACUCAAAGGAAUAGACGGGGGCCCGCACAAGCAGCGGAGCGUGUGGUUUAAUUCGAUGAUACGCGAAGAACCUUACCUGGGUUGAACUACGUGGUAGUAGAGAAGCGAAAGCGGAUCGACCCUUCGGGGAGCCUCGAUAGGUGCUGCAUGGCUGUCGUCAGCUCGUGUCGUGAGAUGUUGGGUUAAGUCCCGCAACGAGCGCAACCCUCGUCGUUAGUUACAAGUGUCUAACGAGACUGCCGGUUUCAAACCGGAGGAAGGUGGGGAUGACGUCAAGUCAGCAUGGUCUUUAUGUCCAGGGCUACACACACGCUACAAUGGCCGGUACAAUUGGUUGCCACACCGUAAGGUGGAGCUAAUCCUCAAAGCCGGUCUCAGUUCAGAUUGCAGUCUGCAACUCGACUGCAUGAAGGUGGAGUUGCUAGUAACCGCGCGUCAGCCAUAGUGCGGUGAAUGCGUUCCCGGGCCUUGUACACACCGCCCGU